GGCCUGUCUUGAGGAAUCUUCUGGAGGCAAGAAUCUACGAAGUUUCGGAAAUAGUCAGACCAUUCAUUAGACUGUAGUGUAGGGGAUUCAUUCUGCGCUAUGUGAUAUAAGGCACUCAUUGCGUUCAUAUUAAACAAAGGAGGCUUCCUUUCCGCUAACUCAAUACAGGUAAUUCCAAGAGACCAAACAUCUACUUUGCCGUCAUACUGCCCUUCAUCCAUGGCUAAAAUCAC
rnacentral:lncRNA from 1 species